AUUGAACGCUGGCGGCAUGCUUUACACAUGCAAGUCGAACGGUAACAGGCCGCAAGGUGCUGACGAGUGGCGAACGGGUGAGUAAUGCAUCGGAACGUGCCCAGUCGUGGGGGAUAACGCAGCGAAAGCUGUGCUAAUACCGCAUACGAUCUAUGGAUGAAAGCGGGGGACCGUAAGGCCUCGCGCGAUUGGAGCGGCCGAUGUCAGAUUAGGUAGUUUGUGGGGUAAAGGCCCACCAAGCCAACGAUCUGUAGCUGGUCUGAGAGGACGACCAGCCACACUGGGACUGAGACACGGCCCAGACUCCGACGGGAGGCAGCAGUGGGGAAUUUUGGACAAUGGGCGCAAGCCUGAUCCAGCAAUGCCGCGUGCAGGAAGAAGGCCUUCGGGUUGUAAACUGCUUUUGUACGGAACGAAAAGGUCUGGGUUAAUACCCUGGGCCGAUGACGGUACCGUAAGAAUAAGCACCGGCUAACUACGUGCCAGCCGCCGCAGUAA
rnacentral:rRNA from 1 species